rnacentral:misc_RNA from 1 species
CUGAAGUACUGUUUCAACUCCUCAGUCACCAAGCUCUUGAUACGGUUGUAACUACUAUCCUUCUCGUCAAAAUCUAGAUCAAAACCUAUACGACGACCUCCUUUCUCUAUCACACUGCUUCCAACAUUCGAUGUCAUGAUGAGGAGUGUAUUCUUGAAGUCGACAGUUCUGCCUUUGCUGUCUGUCAAUCUUCCAUCUUCAAGAAUUUGAAGCAUCAUGUUAAAGACAUCAGGAUGAGCCUUCUCAAUCUCGUCAAAGAGCACAACAGUGUAAGGUCGACGCCUCACAGCUUCAGUUAAUUGACCACCUUCAGUGUAACCAACAUACCCAGGGGGUGAACCGAUGAGUUUAGACACAGUGUGUCUUUCCAUAAACUCACUCAUAUCAAGCCGAAUCAUUGCUUCUUCAGAACCAAAG